rnacentral:rRNA from 1 species
UAAGUUCAAAUGGCCUUUAAAGGUGAAACCGCGAACGGCUCAUUAUAACAGCUAUUAUAUACUUGAUCUUGAUGUCCUACGUGGAUAACUGUGGUAAUUCUAGAGCUAAUACAUGCACCAAAGCUCCGAUUUUGUGACGAGCGCAUCUAUUAGAUUAAAACCAAUCGGGUUUCGGCCCGUAAAUUGGUGACUCUGAAUAACUGUAGCUGAUCGCAUGGUCCAGAACCGGCGACGUGUCUAUCAAGUGUCUGCCUUAUCAACUGUCGAUGGUAGUUUAUGUGCCUACCAUGGUUGUAACGGGUAACGGAGAAUAAGGGUUCGACUCCGGAGAGGGAGCCUGAGAAACGGCUACCACAUCCAAGGAAGGCAGC